CUACGGGAGGCUGCAGUGAGGAAUUUUGCGCAAUGGGGGGAACCCUGACGCAGCAACGCCGCGUGAGUGAUGAAGGCUUUCGGGUCGUAAAGCUCUGUCAAGUGGGAAGAACCUAUGCAGUGUUAAUAUCACUGUAUACUGACGGUACCACUGAAGGAAGCACCGGCUAACUCCGUGCCAGCAGCCGCGGUAAUACGGGGGGUGCAAGCGUUAUUCGGAAUCAUUGGGCGUAAAGGGCACGUAGGCGGCUUGGUAAGUCAGAUGUGAAAGCCCGGGGCUUAACCCCGGAAGUGCAUUUGAUACUGUCAGGCUUGAGUAUGGGAGAGGGAAGUGGAAUUCCUGGUGUAGAGGUGAAAUUCGUAGAUAUCAGGAGGAACACCGGUGGCGAAGGCGACUUCCUGGACCAAUACUGACGCUGAGGUGCGAAGGCGUGGGUAGCAAACAGGAUUAGAUACCCCAGUAGUC
rnacentral:rRNA from 1 species